rnacentral:lncRNA from 1 species
AGGAGAACUGGGCCUUCGACUUUGCUCAUGUUAGGGCGAGGUUCUCCUCCUGUCCCUAACAGGGCUGUGGGGGCACAUAUGGGCGUUGCAGGGCCUCUCCCCCCAUCCAGUCUAAGGAGAAUCGGGCCUUCGACUUUGCUCAUGUUAGGACAAGGUUCUCCUCCUGUUCCUAACAUGGCUUUGUUUUCGUUGUCUGAAGGGGUUAUCCCCUGUCGUUAUGAGUCCAUGCCAAAAGG